rfam:Gossypium raimondii chromosome 5, whole genome shotgun sequence.
AAUUCGUGGUGCGGGAAUUUUUUAAUCAACAUUUUGAAAUGUUCCCACGCCUCAUAAAAACUUUCUCCCUCUAUCUAUCUAAAGAAAGAAAUCUCUCGUCUUAGCU